AUCUGACUUAGUUAAGGGGCAAAGAUUAAUUCAAUAAAAAAGAGGCCGUACUGGUCUCUUUUUUCCUUAUCUGAGGCAUUUUGAGGAGUCCUGCAAAUUUUCUUUGCAGUUCUCUCAAGCAUCCUCGGACAUUU